rnacentral:lncRNA from 1 species
ACCCUACUCGGGUCCCAUUGACCCCAUUGGGACCCCAUUGACCCCAUUGUGACCCCAUUGUCCCUAUUGACCCCAUUGGGACCCCAUUGUCCCCAUUGAUCGGAUUGGGACCCCAUUGGGACCCCAUUGACCCCAUUGUGGCCCCAUUGAUUCCAUUGGGACCACUUUGGGACCCCCUUGUUCUCAUUGACCCUAUUGGGAUCCCAAUGACCCCAUUGGGGCCCCAUUGAUCUCAUUGACCCUAUUGGGAUCCCAUUGACCCCAUUGAGGCCCCAUUGACCCCAUUGGGGCCCCAUUGACCACAUUGGGGCUCCAUUGACCCCAUUGGGGCCCCAUUGAUCUCAUUGACACUAUUGGGAUCCCAUUGACCCCAUUGGGACCCCAUUGGGACCCCAUUGUCCCCACUGACCCCAUUGGGACCCCAUUGACCCCACUGACCUCCAUUGACCCCAAUGGGACCCCACGGUCCCCACUGACCCCAUUU